AGCAGCGAAACCGCGUACAGCCAGCGCUCGUCGAGGUUCUUGGGGAGAGGGGGGUGGAUAAGCUUG
rnacentral:SRP_RNA from 17 species